rnacentral:rRNA from 1 species
GACGAACGCUGGCGGCGUGCUUAACACAUGCCAGUCGAACGGAAAGGCCCUGCUUUUGUGGGGUGCUCGAGUGGCGAACGGGUGAGUAACACGCGAGUAACACGCCCUUGACAUUGUGAUAACUUCAGGAAACUGGGGCUAAUAUCGGAUAGGAGCUCCUGCUGCAUGGGGUGGGUUGGAAAGAUUCGGCGUUUGGGGAUGGACUCGAAGGUUACCAGCUUGAUGGGCGGGUAGUGGCUUCCCAAGGCUUUGAAGGGUAGCCGGCCUGGGAGGGGGACCGGCCACCUGGGUACUACGGUAGGGAGCAGUAGCCUACGGGCGGCAGCAGUCGAGAGUCUUGCAGAGUGGGCGGACGCCUGAUGUGACGACGCCGGGUGCGUAAUGCCGGCCUUCGAGUUAUAAACCGCUUUCGCCUGUGCCGAAGCGUGCGUGACGGUAAUGGGUAAAGAAGCACCGGCUAACUACGUG